UUCUGGAUCGGGUUCGGGUAAUCGAAUUCGAGUAAGGAUUCCAUUUCCGGGAAGUACAUAUCGGGCUUCAUGUCGAGGGCAUCAACGAACUUGGAGGUGAAAUUGAGGUUGGGAAUGAGAAGAGAGUCAGCGUCGUCGUUUUUAAUGGUGGAAACGGCGUCGUUGAAGGCGGAGGAGGUGGACUUGGCGAUGGACUCGGCGGAGUCGAGGAAGGGCUCGACGGGGAAUCGCUCGUGGCGGCGCGCGAGGGGAUUGGCGGAGUGGAUGUCGGCGUCGCACGUGACGCAGAGGGCGGCGGCGUCGGCCUUGCACGUGACGGCGGCGGGGGCCUGCUCGCAGACCUCACACAUCCAGACGCGCUGGUGGCGCGAGGCGAGCUUGUUGGCGCAGUGGAUCUUGGAGUCGCAGGCCAGGCAGAGGUAGGCGGAGUCGGCGCGGCAGAAGACUGCAGCCGGCGACGACUUGCAGGUGUCGCAGGGCUUGGGGGAGAGGCCCGGGAGGGUCCAGCAGGAUUGGAUUCCCAUUUCCCAAAACGGCGUCGUAAUAUGGUUUCUUGGUCGCAAGAGUAUUUGAGGGCAAGGCUCGCAGUGCAGAGAAGACUUUGAUGUCUAUCGUCUAGUAUCUCUAUUUAGUGAGGGAGAGUGGGGGUGGGGGAGGAUAUCUAGGUGAUGACGAAUCGGAGGGGGACACGUGGGUGACUGUGCGCCACUAUAUCUCAGGGCGCCAAAUUUGGUUAUUACAAUCUAUUUUAAUUGAAAUUUUAAUUCGUGCUUCGGAGUAGUAGUUGUCAUGUGUCUGUGCCGACCUGUGCUGCUGGGACCCAGCUGGACGGAUAGACUAAAAAGUUGAUCCCUGACGCGUAUUUAAUUCAUGAAAUUUUACGAAAUCAAGGGGAGUAAAUCAUGAUUUCCUAAUUUUCUUAGGUCUGUGAAUCAAGUCACUGUUACAUAACUUACAUUAUUGCUGCUGAGCUGCACGAAAUUGUCAUCAAUUACGUUAUCUAAUAUGAGAAGGAAAAGUGAAAUUCACAUUUCUUUCUUAAAUUGUCAUCGGUAUUCUUAUUUUUCAUUUGUAAUAACUUAAAUUUUAUCUUUAUUAACUUAAUUUUUAAAAAAAGACUUAGGUGUCUUGAGGUAUUAAUACCUUACAAGAUGUCAUUAUUAUAUUGAUCCACGUAAGUCCACAUAGGACAGCAACUUCAAAAAGUGGAAGACUUCAGUCAGUCACGUUAACCAUACAAAGUUAACGCAACAGACGGACAGAGGCAACGUCCACAGACGGAGGCAAAGUCCACAGACGUGUGUUCUUCUCUGACUUCUCUGACGGAACGGAACAACGUUCCAAAACCCUAAACGACUGUCUCUCUCUCUCUUCGAUCAUUAAACCUAAACGGCUCUUUCUCUGUCUCUCUCUCAACGUCUCUUUCUCUCUCUCUCUCUCUCUCUCUCUCUCUCUCUCUCUCUCUAUCUCUUUCUUGAUCAAUCAAUCUUGCUCAUUCUAUAUCUGUGGCUCUCUAUAACCUAGACUCACUCUCUGUAACUCUUGAUCCUUCAAUCUCAUCGAGAGUCUUGAUUAUUCAAUCUGAUCGAGACUCUGUCUCUUCAGUAUCAGUAUCGAUCCCAUCUGAUCGACAAUCAGACUUUUCCUGUCGCGCUGAAUCUUCUCCUCUUUCGCCCAGUUCGGUGAGUUUUGUUUCUUCAUGAUCUUGUUUCAGUUUCAUAGUCUCAUGGUGUUUGUUUGAUACCUUUUUUCAGUUCCCUUGUUUGAUUUGUGAAUCUUGUACAUAUUGCUUCAUAUAGAAAACACUACUAUUUUAGGUCUUCUUUUCUAUUGUCAUGAUUCAUGAUUCAUUCAAAAGAGGUAAUCUGUGAAUCAUAGAUUUCAUAGAUUGUUUCAUGAAAGAAGUAGUUUAACUCAUGAAAUUGAGUAGACCAAUCAAUAUAACACAAGCGGUUCGUCAUUGCUUAAUAGGUCUACUAUUUUUUUGUAAUUUUCUACUUUAUAUACAAUACACAUCUUAUUAAAAAAGUAAUCGUAUAUACUACUAAAGUCGAAACACAGGUACAACCAGCGAUGGAUGCGUCUGAGAAUGAAAAACAACCGAAUAAGGGUGUAGAGGAUGUGGCAGUAGAUGUUU
rnacentral:lncRNA from 1 species